rnacentral:rRNA from 1 species
AUUGAACGCUGGCGGCAGGCCUAACACAUGCAAGUCGAGCGGAUGAAGGGAGCUUGCUCCUGGAUUCAGCGGCGGACGGGUGAGUAAUGCCUAGGAAUCUGCCUGGUAGUGGGGGAUAACGUCCGGAGACGGGCGCUAAUACCGCAUACGUCCUGAGGGAGAAAGUGGGGGAUCUUCGGACCUCACGCUAUUAGAUGAGCCUAGGUCGGAUUAGCUAGUUGGUGGGGUAAAGGCCUACCAAGGCGACGAUCCGUAACUGGUCUGAGAGGAUGAUCAGUCACACUGGAACUGAGACACGGUCCAGACUCCUACGGGAGGCAGCAGUGGGGAAUAUUGGACAAUGGGCGAAAGCCUGAUCCAGCCAUGCCGCGUGUGUGAAGAAGGUCUUCGGAUUGUAAAGCACUUUAAGUUGGGAGGAAGGGCAGUAAGUUAAUACCUUGCUGUUUUGACGUUACCAACAGAAUAAGCACCGGCUAACUUCGUG